rnacentral:rRNA from 1 species
UACGUAGGGGGCAAGCGUUGUCCGGAAUUAUUGGGCGUAAAGAGCGUGUAGGCGGCUUGGUAGGUCCGCUGUGAAAACUCGAGGCUCAACCUCGAGAUGUCGGCGGAAACCACUUGGCUAGAGUCCGGAAGAGGAGAGUGGAAUUCCUGGUGUAGCGGUGAAAUGCGCAGAUAUCAGGAGGAACACCGGUGGCGAAGGCGGGUCUCUGGGCCGAUACUGACGCUGAGGAGCGAAAGCGUGGGGAGCGAACAGG